rnacentral:rRNA from 1 species
UACGUAGGGACCGAGCGUUGUCCGGAAUUAUUGGGCGUAAAGGGCGCGUAGGCGGCUGGUUAAGUCAAAGGUGAAAUCCCCUCGGCUCAACUGAGGAACUGCCUUUGAAACUAGCGAGCUUGAGGCCGGGAGGGGGUAGCGGAAUUCCCAGUGUAGCGGUGAAAUGCGUAGAUAUUGGGAGGAACACCAGUGGCGAAGGCGGCUACCUGGACCGGUUCUGACGCUGAGGCGCGAAAGCGUGGGUAGCAAACAGG